AGACCUGGCCGAUGCCAGUCAAAUUGUAGUAUCUAUUCUUAUUAGCAUAAUAUCUGAUACAGGUUAUAUUUGGACCCAAGAUAUUAAAUUUUUUUUGCAAGUUGCUUGAGUGCUCGAAGCCUUCUUCACUUCUGCCGCAGCUCGGCCCCGUAAUGCACAAUCUCCGUGCUCGGCCCCACAGUU